AUUGAACGCUGGCGGCAUGCCUUACACAUGCAAGUCGAACGGCAGCACGGGGGCAACCCUGGUGGCGAGUGGCGAACGGGUGAGUAAUGCAUCGGAACGUGCCCAGUAGUGGGGGAUAACUAGUCGAAAGAUUAGCUAAUACCGCAUACGACCUAUGGGUGAAAGCGGGGGAUUCGCAAGAACCUCGCGCUAUCGGAGCGGCCGAUGUCUGAUUAGCUAGUUGGCGGGGUAAAGGCCCACCAAGGCUUCGAUCAGUAGCUGGUCUGAGAGGACGACCAGCCACACUGGGACUGAGACACGGCCCAGACUCCUACGGGAGGCAGCAGUGGGGAAUUUUGGACAAUGGCGCAAGCCUGAUCCAGCCAUGCCGCGUGCGGGAAGAAGGCCU
rnacentral:rRNA from 1 species